rnacentral:rRNA from 1 species
CCCUAGAGGAGCCUGUUCCAUAAUCGAUAAACCCCGAUCCACCUCACCCUCUCUUGCUUAGCCUAUAUACCGCCAUCUUCAGCAAACCCUGAUAAAGGUUACAAAGUGAGCACAAACGCCCUACCGCCGCAAAAACGUUAGGUCAAGGUGUAGCCAAUGAAAGGGUAAAAAUGGGCUACAUUUUCUACAUCAGAAAACUCCACGAAAACUCUUAUGAAACCUGAGAGUCCAAGGAGGAUUUAGCAGUAAAUUAAGAAUAGAGUGCUUAAUUGAACCAGGCCAUAAAGCGCGUACACACCGCCCGUCACUCCCCUCAAAUAUAUUUAAGGAACAUCCUAACUAAACGCCCUAAUAUUUAUAUAGAGGGGACAAGUCGUAACAUGGUAAGUGUACUGGAAGGUGCACUUGGAC